rnacentral:lncRNA from 1 species
GCCUCAAUCCUAUGCUAGGUUUGUUGAAGGCCCAAAGGAUCCCUGGUGCGCGGGGCAUCCCGACCUUAUAGCCAAUAGUGCUAGCAGUCUUUUCUCACUGGUCAAAGAUCGAUCCUGUUAGGAUCGGUUGACAUCCACUAUCUCUGGCCCUCUGACGAUCACUUCUCUAGCGAGUGGUGAUCUGCCACCUGACAGACCUCCCCUCAUGAAAGGGAGCCAAAGCCAACAUUACAGGGAGGUUUCCACUCUCUCUUCAUCUCUCACCACUCGCCUUCUACUAUUAUCCCUUUCCGAUUGUGAUUGAUUUAAGCAUAGGAAAGUCCCUUGUCGGAAAAAUCUUCAUUGGUCUCUCCGGCAUGUGGACUUUCCUUGUAGGUAUCCGAAGGCCGCCCCCAGCAUCCUUCGCUUCAUUCUGGCGGCCAUCUCGUCACGCCACCUGCGCCACCUCAUCUUGGCCGGAGAGGAGCAGCAACAGAUGGAUUGGAUAGUUGAAAAAUAUUCUUGUGUCAAGCAACAUUCCAGUCAAUGUGAAUGGAGAAAUAAAAAAUUUGAUCUUACACAGAAGAGGUCUAUGCAAGGGGACCCUCUCUGUAUUCCUUUUCAUUCUUGUAGUGCACCCACUCUGUAGAAUAUUAAAUGUCGC